rnacentral:tRNA from 2 species
CGUCCGUAGCUCAGUUGGUUAGAGCACCACCUUGACAUGGUGGGGGUCGGUGGUUCGAGUCCACUCGGACGCACCAG